rnacentral:rRNA from 1 species
ACGGGGUGCAGCAGGCGAGAAACCUUAGCAAUGUGCGAAAGCACGACUGGGUCAGUCCGAGUGAUUCCUGAUAAAGGAGUCUUUUGCUUGUCCUAAAAGCACAGGUGAAUAAGGGGUGGGCAAGUCUGGUGUCAGCCGCCGCGGUAAUACCAGCACCUCGAGUGGUCAGGACGUUUAUUGGGCCUAAAGCAUCCGUAGCCGGCUCUGCAAGUCUUCGGUUAAAUCCACCUGCUCAACAGAUGGGCUGCUGGAGAUACUACAGAGCUAGGGAGUGGGAGAGGCAGACGGUAUUCAGUGGGUAGGGGUAAAAUCCUCUGAUCCAUUGAGGACCACCAGUGGCGAAGGCGGUCUGCCAGAACACGUUCGACGGUGAGGGAUGAAAGCUGGGGGAGCAAACCGGAUUAGAUACCCGGGUAGUCCCAGCUGUAAACGAUGCAAACUCGGUGAUGCAUUGGCUUAUGGCCAAUGCAGUGCCGCAGGGAAGCCGUUAAGUUUGCCGCCUGGGAAGUACGGACGCAAGUCUGAAACUUAA